rnacentral:rRNA from 1 species
GAAUCUUGCGCAAUGGCCUAACGGCUGACGCAGCGACGCCGCGUGGAGGAUGACGCCCUUCGGGGUGUAAACUCCUGUUGCCCGGGACGAACAGCCCGUUUCGACGGGUCUGACGGUACCGGGUGAGGAAGCACCGGCUAACUCCGUGCUAGCAGCCGCGGUAAUACGGAGGGUGCGAGCGUUGUCCGGAAUCACUGGGCGUAAAGGGCGCGUAGGCGGUGGGGUAAGCGUGUGGUGAAAGUCCGGGGCUCAACCCCGGAUCGGCCGUGCGAACUGCUUCACUUGAGCACUGUAGAGGCAGGUGGAAUUCCGGGUGUAGCGGUGGAAUGCGUAGAGAUCCGGAAGAACACCGGUGGCGAAGGCGGCCUGCUGGGCAGUGGCUGACGCUGAGGCGCGACAGCGUGGGGAGCAAACAG